GUAACAGGAAACAGCUUGCUGUUUCGCUGACGAGUGGCGGACGGGUGAGUAAUGUCUGGGAAACUGCCUGAUGGAGGGGGAUAACUACUGGAAACGGUAGCUAAUACCGCAUAACGUCGCAAGACCAAAGAGGGGGACCUUCGGGCCUCUUGCCAUCAGAUGUGCCCAGAUGGGAUUAGCUAGUAGGUGGGGUAACGGCUCACCUAGGCGACGAUCCCUAGCUGGUCUGAGAGGAUGACCAGCCACACUGGAACUGAGACACGGUCCAGACUCCUACGGGAGGCAGCAGUGGGGAAUAUUGCACAAUGGGCGCAAGCCUGAUGCAGCCAUGCCGCGUGUAUGAAGAAGGCCUUCGGGUUGUAAAGUACUUUCAGCGGGGAGGAAGGGAGUAAAGUUAAUACCUUUGCUCAUUGACGUUACCCGCAGAAGAAGCACCGGCUAACUCCGUGCCAGCAGCCGCGGUAAUACGGAGGGUGCAAGCGUUAAUCGGAAUUACUGGGCGUAAAGCGCACGCAGGCGGUUUGUUAAGUCAGAUGUGAAAUCCCCGGGCUCAACCUGGGAACUGCAUCUGAUACUGGCAAGCUUGAGUCUCGUAGAGGGGGGUAGAAUUCCAGGUGUAGCGGUGAAAUGCGUAGAGAUCUGGAGGAAUACCGGUGGCGAAGGCGGCCCCCUGGACGAAGACUGACGCUCAGGUGCGAAAGCGUGGGGAGCAAAC
rnacentral:rRNA from 1 species